AUACUUACCUGGACGGGGUCUUUGGGUGAUCAGGAAGGCCCAUGGCCUAGGUUAACGGCCUCCAUCGCACUUAGGAGGGGCGUUGGUUUAGCAUCUCCUCAAGUAGGAGAGUGCACGUCAUAAUUUGUGGUUGAGGGGGUACGCGUUCGCGCGGCCCCUG